AGGACGAACGCUGGCGGCGUGCCUAAUACAUGCAAGUCGAACGGUCUUUUUAUGGAAGCUUGCUUCCACUGAGAAGAUAGUGGCGAACGGGUGAGUAACGCGUGGGUAACCUGCCCAUAAGAGGGGGAUAACAUCCGGAAACGGGUGCUAAUACCGCAUAGUUUUCUUGAUUGCAUGAUUGAGAAAGGAAAGACGGCCUUUGUGCUGUCGCUUAUGGAUGGACCCGCGGCGUAUUAGUUAGUUGGUGAGGUAACGGCUCACCAAGACGAUGAUACGUAGCCGACCUGAGAGGGUGAUCGGCCACAUUGGGACUGAGACACGGCCCAAACUCCUACGGGAGGCAGCAGUAGGGAAUCUUCCGCAAUGGACGAAAGUCUGACGGAGCAACGCCGCGUGAGUGAAGAAAGGUUUUCGGAUCGUAAAACUCUGUUGUCAGAGAAGAACAAGUUGGAGAGUAACUGCUCCAGCCUUGACGGUAUCUGACCAGAAAGCCACGGCUAACUACGUGCCAGCCGCCGC
rnacentral:rRNA from 1 species